rnacentral:rRNA from 1 species
CGAUCCUGGCUCAGGACGAACGCUGGCGGCGUGCUUAACACAUGCAAGUCGAACGAGAAUCUACUGAAGGAGUUUUCGGACAACGGAUGUAGAGGAAAGUGGCGGACGGGUGAGUAACGCGUGAGGAACCUGCCUUGAAGAGGGGGACAACAGUUGGAAACGACUGCUAAUACCGCAUGACGCAUAGGGGUCGCAUGAUCUUUAUGCCAAAGAUUUAUCGCCUCAAGAUGGCCUCGCGU